rnacentral:lncRNA from 1 species
CAUUGCUGGACCAUUUGUUCGUUUCUAAUUGUUAUAAAUCACUUUUUAAACCAGCAUGAUCUGAUUAAAUUAUUGUCCUAAUUUUGCAGACAAUUUUUAUAUCUUAACAUUUUAUUUUAGUAUGUUUAUUUGAUUUUUUAUAUCCCGUUACUCAAGUCGAUCUAUACUAAACCGCAGAAGAAACGUCGCAGUAAUUUAAGGCAAACAAAAUGAAAGAAUAAAUGCUAUUUUUUUUUAUUGAAUUGGCGUAACAAUACCCUUUUUAUUUAUCAAAUUCACAUCUUUUCAGUUCAUUCACUGUUCAUGGAUACAGUUUUCCACCACCAUAUCACAGAUUUAAUUAAUUCAGGCGUUGAGUACGUGAACGGGUAUUUGUACUGUUUGCUGCAUUGUGGCGUUCACGUAGAAUUUGGAUGGUGCGAACAUUGAAGUUAAAUGCAUUUGCAACGACUUGAUGUCGCUGUCCGGCAUUCAGACGUCAUAUUGCCUGUUUUUUUUGUCGUGGAUUAAGUCGUGGCAUCAGUACUGCAUCAAACAGAUUAUGAUGACACAAAAACUUCGCACCUCUAAAACACCCUUGUAGAGGCACGGAUUCAACGUGCAUCUUAUAAAUUAUCAUCAUGAAAUCUGACUGCAAAACGUGUCCCACGGACCCAGCGAAACCACUUUUAAAACGCCCGAAUUAAUGAACGCAGUCAGCCGUAUCGGAGAUUUAAACACAAUCCUAGCAUCAUUUGAAGGUAAUUUAAAUAAACCAAAAUAAAUAAAUAUUAUUUUUCAAUGCAUUUGAAAAUUUGAGUUUUCGAAAAAUAUGAC